rnacentral:tRNA from 1 species
GGGGCUAUAGCUCAGAUGGUAGAGCGCCUGGAUCGCACCCAGGAGGUCAGCGGUUCGAAUCCGCUUAGCUCCACGA